rnacentral:tRNA from 1 species
GCAUUGGUGGUUCAGUGGUAGCGUCCUUGCCUUCCACGUGGGAGACCUGGGUUCAGUUCCCAGCCAAUGCA